UCGCCACAUGGGACUGAGACACGGCCCAGACUCUACGGGAGGCAGCAGUAGGGAAUCUUCCACAAUGGACGCAAGUCUGAUGGAGCAACGCCGCGUGAGUGAAGAAGGGUUUCGGCUCGUAAAGCUCUGUUGUUAAAGAAGAACGUGGGUAAGAGUAACUGUUUACCCAGUGACGGUAUUUAACCAGAAAGCCACGGCUAACUACGUGCCAGCAGCCGCGGUAAUACGUAGGUGGCAAGCGUUAUCCGGAUUUAUUGGGCGUAAAGCGAGCGCAGGCGGUCUUUUAAGUCUAAUGUGAAAGCCUUCGGCUCAACCGAAGAAGUGCAUUGGAAACUGGGAGACUUGAGUGCAGAAGAGGACAGUGGAACUCCAUGUGUAGCGGUGAAAUGCGUAGAUAUAUGGAAGAACACCAGUGGCGAAGGCGGCUGUCUGGUCUGCAACUGACGCUGAGGCUCGAAAGCAUGGGUAGCGAACAGGAUUAGAUACCCUGGUAGUCCAUGCCGUAAACGAUGAUUACUAAGUGUUGGAGGGUUUCCGCCCUUCAGUGCUGCAGCUAACGCAUUAAGUAAUCCGCCUGGGGAGUACGACCGCAAGGUUGAAACUCAAAAGAAUUGACGGGGGCCCGCACAAGCGGUGGAGCAUGUGGUUUAAUUCGAAGCUACGCGAAGAACCUUACCAGGUCUUGACAUCUUCUGACAGUCUAAGAGAUUAGAGGUUCCCUUCGGGGACAGAAUGACAGGUGGUGCAUGGUUGUCGUCAGCUCGUGUCGUGAGAUGUUGGGUUAAGUCCCGCAACGAGCGCAACCCUUAUUACUAGUUGCCAGCAUUAAGUUGGGCACUCUAGUGAGACUGCCGGUGACAAACCGGAGGAAGGUGGGGACGACGUCAAAUCAUCAUGCCCCUUAUGACCUGGGCUACACACGUGCUACAAUGGAUGGUACAACGAGUCGCGAGACCGCGAGGUUAAGCUAAUCUCUUAAAACCAUUCUCAGUUCGGACUGUAGGCUGCAACUCGCCUACACGAAGUCGGAAUCGCUAGUAUCGCGAACCC
rnacentral:rRNA from 1 species